rfam:Drechmeria coniospora strain ARSEF 6962 chromosome 01, whole genome shotgun sequence.
GGGCGAAUGGUCUAGUGGUAUGACGCUUUCUUAGCAAGAGCGAUCCGAGUGGUUGCCUCCUUUGGAAGAGGUCCGGGGUUCAAUUCCCCGUUUGUCCA